AGUGCAUGUGGUGGAUGCCUUGGCAGUCAGAGGCGAUGAAAGACGUGAUAGCCUGCGAAAAGCUCCGGGGAGGCGGCAAAUAUCCUUUGAUCCGGAGAUGUCUGAAUGGGGGAACCCACCUACUUUAAGGUAGGUAUUGCAACAUGAAUACAUAGUGUUGCAAGGCGAACGAGGGGAAGUGAAACAUCUCAGUACCCUUAGGAAAAGAAAUCAAUUGAGAUUCCCUCAGUAGCGGCGAGCGAACGGGGAUCAGCCCAUUAAGUUAUGUGUGUUUUAGUGGAACGCUCUGGGAAGUGCGAACGUAGAGGGUGAUAUUCCCGUACACGAAAGGGCACACAUAAUGAUGACGAGUAGGGCGAGGCACGUGAAACCUUGUCUGAAUAUGGGGGGACCAUCCUCCAAGGCUAAAUACUCCUGACUGACCGAUAGUGAACCAGUACCGUGAGGGAAAGGCGAAAAGAACCCCUGUGAGGGGAGUGAAAUAGAUCCUGAAACCGCAUGCAUACAAGCAGUGGGAGCACCUUCGUGGUGUGACUGCGUACCUUUUGUAUAAUGGGUCAGCGACUUAUAUUCAGUAGCAAGGUUAACCGUAUAGGGGAGCCGUAGAGAAAUCGAGUCUUAAUAGGGCGUUUAGUUGCUGGGUAUAGACCCGAAACCAGGCGAUCUAUCCAUGAGCAGGUUGAAGGUUGGGUAACACUAACUGGAGGACCGAACCCACUGUCGUUGAAAAGCCAGGGGAUGACUUGUGGAUAGGGGUGAAAGGCUAAUCAAGCCUGGUGAUAGCUGGUUCUCCCCGAAAGCUAUUUAGGUAGCGCCUCGGACGAAUACCAUAGGGGGUAGAGCACUGUUUCGGCUAGGGGGUCAUCCCGACUUACCAAACCGAUGCAAACUCCGAAUACCUAUGAGUACUAUCCGGGAGACAGACUGCGGGUGCUAACGUCCGUAGUCAAGAGGAAAACAAUCCAGACCGCCAGCUAAGGCCCCAAAAUCAUAGUUAAGUGGGAAACGAUGUGGGAAGGCAUAGACAGCUAGGAGGUUGGCUUAGAAGCAGCCACCCUUUAAAGAAAGCGUAAUAGCUCACUAGUCGAGUCGGCCUGCGCGGAAGAUGUAACGGGGCUAAAACUAUGUGCCGAAGCUGCGGAUGUAUACUUUGUAUACGUGGUAGGGGAGCGUUCUGUAAGCCGAUGAAGGUGUGUUGAGAAGCUAUGCUGGAGGUAUCAGAAGUGCGAAUGCUGACGUGAGUAACGACAAAACGGGUGAAAAACCCGUUCGCCGAAAGACCAAGGGUUCCAGUCCAACGUUAAUCGGGGCUGGGUGAGUCGACCCCUAAGGCGAGGCCGAAAGGCGUAGUCGAUGGGAAAAUGGUUAAUAUUCCAUUACUUCUGUGUAAUGCGAUGAGAGGACGGAGAAGGCUAAAUCAGCCUGGCGUUGGUUGUCCAGGUGAAAGGAUGUAGGCAUGUAUCUUAGGCAAAUCCGGGGUACUCUAUGCUGAGAUCUGAUAGCAAGCUGUACUUGUACAGCGAAGUGGUUGAUGCCAUGCUUCCAGGAAAAGUCUCUAAGCUUCAGUUACACAGGAAUCGUACCCGAAACCGACACAGGUGGUCAGGUCGAGUAGACCAAGGCGCUUGAGAGAACUCUGCUGAAGGAACUAGGCAAAAUGGUACCGUAACUUCGGGAGAAGGUACGCUGUUGUUGGUGAUGGAACUCGCUUCCUGAGCUGACGACAGCCGCAGAAACCAGGCCGCUGCAACUGUUUAUUAAAAACAUAGCACUCUGCAAACACGAAAGUGGACGUAUAGGGUGUGAUGCCUGCCCGGUGCUGGAAGGUUAAUUGAUGGGGUUAGCGUAAGCGAAGCUCUUGAUCGAAGCCCCAGUAAACGGCGGCCGUAACUAUAACGGUCCUAAGGUAGCGAAAUUCCUUGUCGGGUAAGUUCCGACCUGCACGAAUGGCAUAAUGAUGGCGGCGCUGUCUCCAGCAGAGGCUCAGUGAAAUCGAAAUCGCUGUGAAGAUGCAGUGUACCCGCGGCUAGACGGAAAGACCCCGUGAACCUUUACUGCAGCUUGACACUGAACUUUGACCUUACUUGUGUAGGAUAGGUGGGAGGCUUUGAAGCUGGAACGCUAGUUCCAGUGGAGCCGUCCUUGAAAUACCACCCUGGUAAUGUUGAGGUUCUAACUCUGUCCCGUGAUCCGGGACGAGGACCGUGUCUGGUGGGUAGUUUGACUGGGGCGGUCUCCUCCUAAAGAGUAACGGAGGAGUACGAAGGUGCGCUCAGCGUGGUCGGAAAUCACGCGUAGAGUAUAAAGGCAAAAGCGCGCUUAACUGCGAGACCCACAAGUCGAGCAGGUACGAAAGUAGGUCUUAGUGAUCCGGUGGUUCUGUAUGGAAGGGCCAUCGCUCAACGGAUAAAAGGUACUCUGGGGAUAACAGGCUGAUACCGCCCAAGAGUUCAUAUCGACGGCGGUGUUUGGCACCUCGAUGUCGGCUCAUCUCAUCCUGGGGCUGAAGCAGGUCCCAAGGGUAUGGCUGUUCGCCAUUUAAAGAGGUACGCGAGCUGGGUUUAGAACGUCGUGAGACAGUUCGGUCCCUAUCUACCGUGGGCGCUGGAAAUUUGAGAGGAUCUGCUCCUAGUACGAGAGGACCAGAGUGGACGAACCUCUGGUGUACCGGUUGUGACGCCAGUCGCAUCGCCGGGUAGCUAUGUUCGGAAGGGAUAACCGCUGAAAGCAUCUAAGCGGGAAGCCUACCUCAAGAUAAGAUUUCCCUAGGACUUUAUGUCCUCUAAAGAGCCGUUCGAGACUAGGACGUUGAUAGGUUGGAUGUGGAAGCAUAGUGAUAUGUGAAGCUGACCAAUACUAAUUGCUCGUGAGGCUUGACU
rnacentral:rRNA from 1 species